rnacentral:rRNA from 1 species
UUGCUCCCUGCUAGUCCCACCGGGCGACAGUGAUAACACGUGGGUAACCUGCCUGUAAGACUGGGAUAACUCCGGGAAACCGGGGCUAAUACCGGAUGCUUGUUUGAACCGCAUGGUUCAAACAUAAAAGGUGGCUUCGGCUACCACUUACAGAUGGACCCGCGGCGCAUUAGCUAGUUGGUGAGGUAAUGGCUCACCAAGGCAACGAUGCGUAGCCGACCUGAGAGGGUGAUCGGCCACACUGGGACUGAGACACGGCCCAGACUCCUACGGGAGGCAGCAGUAGGGAAUCUUCCGCAAUGGACGAAAGUCUGACGGAGCAACGCCGCGUGAGUGAUGAAGGUUUUCGGAUCGUAAAGCUCUGUUGUUAGGGAAGAACAAGUACCGUUCGAAUAGGGCGGUACCUUGACGGUACCUUAACCAGAAAGCCCCGGCUUAACUACGUGCCCAACCAGCCGCGGUAAUACCGUUAGGUUGGCCAAGGCGUUGGUUCCGGGAAAUUAUUGGGGGCGUUAAAGGGGGCUCGCAAGGCGGGUUUCCCUUAAGUUCUGAUGUGAAAGCCCCCGGCCUCAACCGGGGGAGGGUCAUUGGAAAACUGGGGACUUGAGUGCAGAAGAGGAGAGUGGAAUCCCACGUGUUACGGUUGAAAUGCGUAAGAUGUGGAAGAACACCAUGGCGAAAGGCGAAUCUCUGCUCUGUAACUUACCCUAGAACAAAGCUGGGAACAACAGGAAUUAAUAUCCUGGUUAUCCACCCCCCUAACAAUCAAUGCAUAAUGUUUGGGGGUCCCC